rnacentral:rRNA from 1 species
GACGAACGCUGGCGGCGUGCUUAACACAUGCAAGUCGAACGAUGAAGCGGUGCUUGCACCGUGGCUUAGUGGCGAACGGGUGAGUAAUACGUGAGUGACCUACCUUUGACUCUGGGAUAAGCCUGGGAAACUGGGUCUAAUACCGGAUACGACCAAUCUCUGCAUGGGGUGUUGGUGGAAAGCGUUAUGGAGUGGUUUUAGAUGGGCUCACGGCCUAUCAGCUUGUUGGUGUGGUAAUGGCUUAUCAAGGCGACGACGGGUAGCCGGCCUGAGAGGGUGACCGGCCACACUGGGACUGGGACACGGCCCAGACUCCUACGGGAGGCAGCAGUGGGGAAUAUUGCACAAUGGGCGCAAGCCUGAUGCAGCGACGCCGCGUGAGGGAUGACGGCCUUCGGGUUGUAAACCUCUGUUAGCAUCGAAGAAGCGAAAGUGACGGUAGGUGCAGAGAAAGCGCCGGCUAACUACGUG